rnacentral:tRNA from 1 species
GCCGGGUUAGCUCAGUUGGUAGAGCAGUUGCCUUGUAAGCAUCAGGUCGCGAGUUCGAGUCCCGCACCCGGCACCA